rnacentral:rRNA from 1 species
CCUACGGGAGGCAGCAGUGGGGAAUAUUGGGCAAUGGGCGCAAGCCUGACCCAGCAACGCCGCGUGAAGGAAGAAGGCCCUCGGGUUGUAGACUACUUUUAUCAAGGACGAAACAAAUGACGGUACUUGAUGAAUAAGCCACGGCUAACUACGUGCCAGGCGCCGCCGUAAUACGUAGGUGGCAAGCGUUAUCCGGAUUUACUGGGUGCAAAGGGCGGGUAGGCGGGACUGCAAGUCAGAUGGGAAAACCAUGGGCUCAACCCCGGGCCUGCAUUUGAACCUGGUGGUCUUGAGUGUUGGAGAGGCAGGCGGAAUUCCGGGUGUAGCGGUGAAAUGCGUAGAUAUACGGAGGAAGACCAGUGGCGAAGGCGGCCUGCUGGACAAUAACGGACGCUGAGGCGCGAAAGCGUGGGGAGCAAACAGGAUUAGAUACCCCAGUAGUC